UACGUAGGGGGCAAGCGUUGUCCGGAAUCAUUGGGCGUAAAGCGCGUGUAGGCGGUCCGGUAAGUCGGCUGUGAAAGUCCAGGGCUCAACCCUGGGAUGCCGGUCGAUACUGCCGGACUAGAGUUCGGAAGAGGCGAGUGGAAUUCCCGGUGUAGCGGUGAAAUGCGCAGAUAUCGGGAGGAACACCAAUGGCGAAGGCAGCUCGCUGGGACGUUACUGACGCUGAGGCGCGAAA
rnacentral:rRNA from 1 species